GGUUUUGCCAACUGUGAGCUGCGUUUCAUGGUGAUUGUAGACAGAAGCAUGUUAGGAUCGGAUUCAUCAACAAUUGAUUAUCCAGGAAGAAUUCCUUCGGACAAGAGAUCCGAAAUGAUGUUGCGGCCAUUAGUGAAAAUUUUGCUAAUGACAAGCCUGUUUCUGGGUCCUCUUGAUCAGUACCCAAUGAAAAUGAUCAGUAGCUUCAUCAGCUAUUAAAUGGCCAUUCGUCUUGAAAUGCCAGCAAUCCCAAAUCGAUGACUAUGAGGAACUGAAACAUGGUAAUGCUACUGUUUAUGUUCUGAAUUAAUUAAAUAGCAAGUUUUUAUGACAUGAUCUGGAAGGCUAAAUGUCAGUCCCCCGGAAUCGGCUACACAUCUCGUUUCUUGAUAUUUCUUUCUUUUCAAUCUCUAUCCGAAAAAGGAAAGAAGAGAUGACUAGGAAUUCACAAUAUAUCGAUAACUCGAUAAGGUUUUAAUUGAUUAAGAGCAGUUGCAGUUGAAUACAAACUAAAAGGAGGAUACAUAGUGUAGAAAGACUCGGAUAACGAGUUUAAUUAGUCUUCAUAAAAUAGAUUUUCUACGAUAAUCAGUGUCCCUUUAAAACAUCAAAAUAUGAUGCUGGCUUCUUAGUCUCAGAACGCAGUGCCUGAAUAUCCAAAAUCAGUGUGAUGUUAGUACGGUGCAUGUUGACAACUUUUGCAUCAUGCAUGUUUUGGUUAAAUGUACCUCGCAGGCAGCAGCCAAACGCAGAAUUGUAGCUUCGCCCCAUGGGCGGCCUAUGAUCUGCAAACCGAUUGGAAGACCUUGCUUGUCAUAACCAACCUGUAACAGGUAAGAUAUAAUUCAAGUUUCGUCUACAACAAGUUGAUAUUGGUAUAAACAAAACACUACUUACAGGUACAGAAAUGGCUGGGAGUCCAAUAAGAUUCCCUGCUAGAAUGAAACGCAUUAAACUACCUGAAACAUGAAGCACACCACAAGUUAAAUGCAAGGUUAAAAUCAAGCAUAAUGAAUAUGUAUCACCAUACCAACUCACCUGUUACCUUCAGAUUCGUCUCCCCCAUCUCAAGUGCCCUUGUGCGAAUCAAAGGAGCUGUCAUUCUAACAAAAAAAUACACUCUAUAAAAAGUUUUUUAUAUAUAUAUACACACACACACACACAUAUACAUCAAAUUGCUCAACCUAACCUAUAAAACUAUGUUGAUAUUUUAUAGUUUGAUUACUAACGUCAAAACUUUGGAGGCACAAAUGUUAUAAAGGCAAGGCCAGUAUUCUACUAUAGUCAAGGGUAUCUACAUACCCGGUCGUUGGAGUAACUAUGACGUCGACUGUCUUGAAGAUCUCCAUGUGAUAGUACAUCACCCUGCGCCUGCAAUUGCAAUCGACCAUGUUACAUAGUAUGUCUGUUGUAGUACGGGUUUCGUAUGGGUAACAGUUUUCCUUUAUAAAGGCUCGCCAUAAGUAAAGAAAUUGAAAUUAUUUGACCUUUAACAGUCUAAACUUGACUCUAAUUGGAAAAAAAAAAACAAAGAAAAGCUCAAGACCUGAGACGCUGGGCUGCAACAUAGUCUGAAGCUGUGAAUGAGCGGAAAAGUGCAAGAUUAGUGCGAGUGUCCAGUCAUAGCAUACCCGCUCUGACAGUGAGGUGUAAGUGCGGCUAAUGCUUCAGAACCAAUGGAAACAAGAUGGGAUGUUCGUGUCUGGUGAAGCUCAGCCAUAAGUUUGUGAUAAGAGAUUCAGAAUAUCUUCACACUUGGUUGAAAUGUCAGGAGAAGCUCCUAAAAUAGCUGCAUACCUAAAGAAAUCGAUGAAUAGUAGUCGGUUACUUAAGUAGACAGACAGACAGACAGACAGAGAGAGAGUGUGUUACUUACACCAGCAUGAUAUCCUCAACACUGGAUGCAAUUGGUCCUAUAAUUUCUAAGGUCCCUCCAUCAUAUAAUGCCCUGAGAAUUCAAUAUGAUUAUGAAGAUAACAACUAGUGCGCUACCUGGUAAUAUAUAAUCUCUUAAUGUACAAUUACAUGAAGGAAGUUAGGUUACCCUUUGAUGUCGGUACGCCCAAAUGUUGUUUUCAAUCCCACAACACCGCAAAGAGAAGAGGGAAUACGGACUGAACCUGUGAUAAUUAACAAACUGAACAUAUUCCCGAAGCUACAAUUGCCGCUGGUCCUGAUGAAGAUCCACCUGUAUACCUCUCCGCAUUAUGCGGGUUUCGUGUUGUGCUAAAACACCAGUUUCAGAACUUUAAUCAAAGGAAAUAACUACAAGUUAUAAACCACUAUAUGUUAAUCAACUAAACCUUACCCAUUGUUUGGGUUAUUUCCAGUAGUCCCUUGUCCAAAUUCAUGCAUAUUAGCCUUCCCAACGAAAAUCACCCCACAGCUCCUUAACCUUGAUACACAAACUGCAUCCUUGUCAACAGUACGCACCUCAUCAAACCAUAUCGUCCCACCUGUUUAAAUAACCAAUUUCCAUCUAUAUGUCAUUGGUGGCACCAGGCAGGUAUUAAAUUAAUACUCAUUUAGAUGUAUACCCUUUGAUGGAUGGGGAUAGCAAUCUAUAUCAUCCUUGAUUGCCAUGAAGAUACCAUCCAAAGCUGACAAUGGUUUUCCUACACAACCAUAUACUAUUUUAGACAUGGAAUGGAUAUAAAUGAAUGCACCUUCCUCAAACCGUUGGGUUGAAGCUGCAGCCUGCUUUCUAACAUCUUCAGCAUUGAAAGAAACCAACUGUGGUGUUGGGGGUUUCUUAUUAUUGUUAAAUUCUUCAAUAGCAGAAAUCACGUACUCUGCGACCUGUUAAAUGGUAUAUAUAUGAGUAGGCUAUUGGCAGGGGCAACCUGUAUGUGAUUGUGACAUACCCUUACUGGCGUUGUGAUCCUUGACCUGUAUGAAUAUGCAUAAUCACGAAUCUUCCAGUAGCGAAAUGAUGGGGUCAAACCAGAACUCCUGCUAGCAGAAGCAGGAUCAUAUUGGGGAAGACAUCUAACGCUCGAAUCAACUCGGUCUUGAGAUGUACCAUCUUCUAUGAGACAAACCACUCCUGAUUCUUGUUCUAAUUUCAGAAUAAAACAAGAGGGGAUUACUUCAUGAGGGAGCUUACUUCGGAUUACUAUGCUCGUUUCGGUAGUUUUCUUAUUCAUAUAAUAUUUAUUGUAGUAAAUUGUGAUAGAUAUACAUUAAAAACGAAGUAAUCGGGUAAUCCAUUUCAUUGUGUUGUGCAUGGCUCGGUUAUUAUCCUCAACCGAAGCCGAAACCAAAUUAAUCGGUUAUUCUAUUUUA
rnacentral:lncRNA from 1 species